rnacentral:rRNA from 1 species
AGUUCGAUUAUGGCGACCAGAUUGAACGCUGGCGGGAUGCUUUGCACAUACAAAGUCGAACGGCAGCACGGACUUCGGUCUGGUGGCGAGUGGCAGACGGGUGAGUAAUGUAUCGGAACGUGCCUAGUAGCCAGGAGAUAUACGCGAAAGCGUAUGUCUACCUGCGCUGGAAAGCAGGACCUUCGGGCCUCGCACUAUUGAAACGGCCGAUAUCGGAUUAGCUAGUUGGUGAGGCUAACGGCUCACCAAGGCGACGAUCCGUGCGCUGGUUUGAGAGGACGACCAACCACACUGGGACUGAGACACGGCGGGCUCUACGGGAGGCAGCAGUGGGGAAUUUUGGACAAUGUGGGGAAACCCUGAUCCAGCCAUCCCGCGUGCGAUGAAGGCCUUCGGGUUGUAAAGCACUUUUGGCAGGAAAGAAACGCUUGCAGGAUAAUACCCCGUGCAACUGACGGUACCUGCAAGAUAAGCACCGGCUAACAGGUACGCCAGCGGCCGCAUUGUCUGUGGGGUGCAAGCGUUAAUCGGAAUUACUGGGCGUAAAGCGUGCGCAGGCGGUUCGGAAAGAAGAUGUGAAAUCCAGAGCUUAACUUUGGAACUGCAUUUUUAACUACCGAGCUAGAGUGUGUCAGAGGGAGGUGGAAUUCCCGCGAUGUAGCAUUGAAAUGCGUAGAUAUGGAGGAACACCGGUGGCGAAAGCAAUAUCCUGGGAUAACACUGACGCUCAUGCACGAAGACGUGGGGAGCAAACAGGAUUAGAAUGCCCUGGUAGUCCACGCCCUAAACGAUGUCAAACUGUGUUGGGGCCUUCGGGCCUUGGUAGCCUGUACGCGCAAGUUGACCGCCUGGGAAGUACGGUCGCAAGAUUAAAGCAAAGGAAUUGACGGGGACCCGCACAAGCGGUGGAUGAUGUGGAUUAAUUCGAUGCAACGCCGAAAAACCUUACCUACCCUUGACAUGUCUGGAAUCCCGAAGAGAUUUGGGAGUGCUCGCAAGAGAACCGGAACACAGGUGCUGCAUGGCUGUCGUCAAGCUCCGUGUCAUGAGAUGUUGGGUUAGGCGUCCUGUAACGGGCUGUACAUGUCGUGGAUUGCUACAGAGGGCACUCUAAUGAGACUGCCGGUGACAAACAAGGAGGAAGGUGGGGAUGACGUCAAGUCCUCAUGUACAUGGGUAGAGGGCUUCACACGUCAUACAAUGGUCGGGACAGAGGGUCGCCAACCCGCGAGGGGGGAGCCGUCCAAGAAACCCGAUCAUCAGUCCCGGAUCGCAGUCUGCAACUCGACUGCGUGAAGUCAGAAUCGCUAGUAAUCGCGGAUCAGCAUGUCGCGGUAGAUACGUUCCCGGGUCUUGUACACACCGCCCGUCACACCAUGGGAGUGGGUUUACAGAAGUAAGUUAGCCUAACGUAAGGAGGGCGAUUACCACGGUAGGAUUCAUGACUGGGGUGAAGUCGCUGGUGG